AUCCAACUGAGGAGUCCCAAAAAGGACGAAACGCGCGUGAAACUGUAU
rnacentral:hammerhead_ribozyme from 1 species